rnacentral:lncRNA from 1 species
AUUUAAGUAUCCAUCCACUUUUGAGACCAGUUCAAUAUGAUCAGAAAGAAAAUCAAUCUGUAAAUACACAAUGAAAUACACAAAUAAAAGAUCCCUAAAAUCUGCAGCAAAAAAAAAGAAUCAAGAUUGGAGAAAACGAGCAAGAGAAGAACAGGGAAUCACCCAAGCAGACAAAGGAAAAGUUACUGCAAUACUGCACACGGCUUCGUUAUCCUCUUCCUUCUCUCGCUAGCAGCGGCGCUGACUGACCAAGGGGAUAAACCGAGGCAGGCAAGCAGCGAGAACAGGCAAGGGAGUCACGGCGGCGCCGCACCAGCCUGCCACCUCUGCGGACCGCGCCUUCGCUUC